rnacentral:rRNA from 1 species
UUACCAGCUUGAACUGACCGAAAGUCGCAAGCAGAGGUGCUGCAUGGCUGUCGUCAGCUCGUGUCGUGAGAUGUUGGGUUAAGUCCCGCAACGAGCGCAACCCUGUUGCUGUUGCCAUCAUAUGGGACUCUGCAAGACUGCCGGUGAUAACCGGAGGAAGGUGGGGAUGACGUCAAGUCAGCAUGGCCUUUAUGCUGGGCUACACACGUGCUACAAUGGGGCACAACCGGCACCGCGAGGGGAGCAAUCGGAAAACCGUCUCAGUUCGGAUUGUAGGCUGCAACUCGCCUGCAUGAAGUUGGAAUCGCUAGUAAUCGCGAUCAGACGCGCGGUGAAUCGUUCCCGGGCCUUGUACACACCGCCCGUCACAUCACGAAAGCCGGUGACUGAA